ensembl:misc_RNA
UUGACACCACUGGAGGCUGAAGCCCUCUAUUUACCCACAGAGCAGAUACAGCAUGGGCGGCAGCUGUGCAAGUUCCCCCACGCUGCCCCCACCCAUGUGCCUCAUCUCUGUCCUGGAGGGACCACCUCUAGAGGUGAGAGGAUAGUUCAGUCUCCAUGACCCAUCCAACCCCUGGCCUUU